rnacentral:rRNA from 1 species
AGAGUUUGAUUCUGGCUCAGGACGAACGCUGGCGGCGUGCUUAACACAUGCAAGUCGAACGAUGAAGCCUAGCUUGCUAGGUGGAUUAGUGGCGAACGGGUGAGUAAUACGUGAGUGACCUACCUUUGACUCUGGGAUAAGCCUGGGAAACUGGGUCUAAUACCGGAUACGACCAAUCUCCGCAUGGGGUGUUGGUGGAAAGCGUUAUGGAGUGGUUUUAGAUGGGCUCACGGCCUAUCAGCUUGUUGGUGAGGUAAUGGCUUACCAAGGCGACGACGGGUAGCCGGCCUGAGAGGGUGACCGGCCACACUGGGACUGAGACACGGCCCAGACUCCUACGGGAGGCAGCAGUGGGGAAUAUUGCACAAUGGGGGAAACCCUGAUGCAGCGACGCCGCGUGGAGGAAGAAGGUCUUCGGAUUGUAAACUCCUGUUGUUGAGGAAGAUAAUGACGGUACUCAACAAGGAAGUGACGGCUAACUACGUGCCAGCAGCCGCGGUAAAACGUAGGUCACAAGCGUUGUCCGGAAUUACUGGGUGUAAAGGGAGCGCAGGCGGGAAGACAAGUUGGAAGUGAAAUCCAUGGGCUCAACCCAUGAACUGCUUUCAAAACUGUUUUUCUUGAGUAGUGCAGAGGUAGGCGGAAUUCCCGGUGUAGCGGUGGAAUGCGUAGAUAUCGGGAGGAACACCAGUGGCGAAGGCGGCCUACUGGGCACCAACUGACGCUGAGGCUCGAAAGUGUGGGUAGCAAACAGGAUUAGAUACCCUGGUAGUCCACACCGUAAACGAUGAUUACUAGGUGUUGGAGGAUUGACCCCUUCAGUGCCGCAGUUAACACAAUAAGUAAUCCACCUGGGGAGUACGACCGCAAGGUUGAAACUCAAAGGAAUUGACGGGGGCCCGCACAAGCGGUGGAGCAUGUGGUUUAAUUCGAAGCAACGCGAAGAACCUUACCAAGUCUUGACAUACUGUGAGGACACAAGAGAUUGUGUUGUUCUGACCUUUGGUUAGACACAGAUACAGGUGGUGCAUGGUUGUCGUCAGCUCGUGUCGUGAGAUGUUGGGUUAAGUCCCGCAACGAGCGCAACCCUUGCCCUAUGUUGCCAGCACGUGAUGGUGGGGACUCGUGGGGGACUGCCGGGGUUAACUCGGAGGAAGGUGGGGAUGACGUCAAAUCAUCAUGCCCCUUAUGUCUUGGGCUUCACGCAUGCUACAAUGGCCGGUACAGAGGGUUGCGAUACUGUGAGGUGGAGCUAAUCCCUAAAAGCCGGUCUCAGUUCGGAUUGGGGUCUGCAACUCGACCCCAUGAAGUCGGAGUCGCUAGUAAUCGCAGAUCAGCAACGCUGCGGUGAAUACGUUCCCGGGCCUUGUACACACCGCCCGUCAAGUCACGAAAGUUGGUAACACCCGAAGCCGGUGGCCUAACCCUGGUGGGGGGAGCCGUCGAAGGUGGGACUGGCGAUUGGGACUAAGUCGUAACAAGGUAGCCGUACCGGAAGGUGCGGCUG